rnacentral:rRNA from 1 species
GGUUGAUCCUGCCAGUAGUCAUAUGCUUGUCUCAAAGAUUAAGCCAUGCAUGUCUAAGUAUAAGCUUGUUUAUACGGCGAGACUGCGGAUGGCUCAUUAAAUCAGUUAUAGUUUAUUUGAUGGUCUCUUUUUUCUUUUUUUUUACCUACUUGGAUAACCGUGGUAAUUCUAGAGCUAAUACAUGCGCAAGGUCCCAAGCGCGGGACGGGAGGUGUAAAAAGCCUUUCGUCUGCAUGUGCAGCGGGAUGUAUUUAUUAGGUUAAAAACCAGCACAUUUCAAAAACUCUGGUGAU